CACAGGCGUGGACAAAUGUAUCAAGAGUGGCGUGUGCAUCUCCGUCUGCCCUACUUUGUGUCUCGAACUGGUCGGUGAUGACACAAGGUACUACUGCAAGAGCGAUGAUAGUGAAUGUUGUUGCCCACCCAACACGUUGACAGAAUGGUGCAUUAGCAGGCCAUUCUGUGAUCCCUCGGCCUGUGAGGAAUUGUGCAAAGGAAAUCACUUCUAUGUUGGUGGAGCCUACUGCAAGAAUAUUACCCACCCACUGAAAUAUGUUAAGUGUUGCUGCCCCUUAAAACACAACGCCGCCAUGCAUGGCUAAUAGAGCAUGAGUUGUUGUAUUAGCCUCUAUUUAUGUCACAAUUUUCAUAGUAUGUUAUCAUUAGUCAUUGUCCUAGAGGCUAAUAGAGCGGCUUAUGUUCGAGCUAGUCAAUUGGUGGAUGCCCAAAACUAUAACUGAUUGUGGAUAUCCACCAGAUUUGCUUGUUCUUGCUAAUUAAUUAAUUUAAGGAAUAAAUG
rnacentral:lncRNA from 1 species